CUGAGACCGGUGCCCCCAGAGAAAGGAGUCUUCCCUUUGGACCAUAUGCACCUCUGCGACCUGGAGAAGAAAGAAUACCUCAAUUGUCUCAAAACCUCUGGUCACCAAUCUGAAAAGUGCAGGCACUUAUCAAAAAAAUACCUUGAAUGCCGUAUGGAGAAGAAUUUAAUGGCAAAGCAAGACAUGACGGAGCUAGGAUUUGGAAAUUUGAGUCAGGCCAGUUUGUCUGGUGAUAAAUUGGAUCAAGUCUAAAUUGUUCUUCCAUAAAUAACCGUGAUCGAAG
rnacentral:misc_RNA from 1 species